AGAUUAAUCUCUAUCAGCUAACACCUAUAAUUUACUAUAUAAUGUACGCGGCAUCUUUCGGAAUCCAGCGCUUCCGGCAAGUGUGUGAUUAAUCCCAAUAUAAUAUUGAAUGCAUCUCAAACAAUUCAAUACCCAAGUACGGAGUGUGCUCGCAUCAUAUGCGAUCAGAACAGUAAAGUACUAAUAAACACCUGUGAUGCUAAGGCGGCACCAUCUGAUUGUAUAAUGGGCCAAAAAGGGUAUCCCAAUGCCAACUAUCCAAAAUUCUGUCAACGUAAAAUAUAUUGCAACAAUUUAAUCAAAAAGCAAAUGUUAAAGAACAAUUUAUAAUCAGCAUAAAUAUUGUACUCAAAAUUCUUCACAAAUUCCAUUAGAAACGAAAAA